rnacentral:rRNA from 1 species
CCUACGGGAGGCAGCAGUAGGGAAUGUUCGUCAAUGGGCGCAAGCCUGAACGAGCAAUGCCGCGUGAACGAGGAAGGUCUUCGGAUCGUAAAGUUCUGUUGAAGGGGAAAAAGAGCGGAGAGAGGAAAUGCUUUCUGAUUGAUAUUACCCUUCGAGGAAGUCACGGCUAACUACGUGCCAGCAGCCGCGGUAAUACGUAGGUGGCGAGCGUUAUCCGGAAUGAUUGGGCGUAAAGGGUGCGUAGGCGGCCUGCUAAGUCUGGAGUGAAAGGUACCGGCUCAACCGGUACAGGCUCUGGAAACUGGCGGGCUAGAGGGCAGGAGAGGGCGGUGGAACUCCAUGUGUAGCGGUACAAUGCGUAGAUAUAUGGAAGAACAUCAGUGGCGAAGGCGGCCGCCUGGCCUGUUAACUGACGCUGAGGCACGAAAGCGUGGGGAGCAAAUAGGAUUAGAUUCCCUUGUAGUC